rnacentral:rRNA from 1 species
AACGAACGCUGGCGGCAUGCCUAACACAUGCAAGUCGAACGAAACCUUCGGGUCUAUGUGCGCACGGGUGCUUAACGCGUGGUAACCUGCCCUUAGGUUCGGAAUAACUCCCCGAAAGGGAUGCUAAUACCGGAUAAUCUCUUCGGACCAAAGAUUUAUCGCCUUUGGAUGGGCCCUCGUUGGAUUAGCUAGUUGGUAGGGUAAAAGCCUACCAAGGCGAGGAUCCAUAGCUGGUCUGAGAGGAUGAUCAUCCACACUGGGACUGAGACACGGCCCAGAAUCCUACGGGAGGCAGCAGUGGGGAAUACUGGACACUGGGCGAAAGCCUGAUCAAGCAACGCCGCGUGAGUGAUGAAGGCCUUAGGGUUGUAAAGCUCUUUUACACGGGACGAUAAUGACAGUAACGGGAGAAUAAGCUCCGGCUAACUACGUG